AUGAACGCUGGCGGCGUGCUUAACACAUGUAAGUCGAACGGACGCUUUGAGCAAUCGGAGCGUUAGUGGCAGACGGGUGCGUAACACGUGGGUGACCUACCUCGAAGUGGGGAACAACAGACCGAAAGGUUUGCUAAUACCGCAUACGUUCGGCUCUUCAUUGAGCCGCGCAAAGCCGAAAGGCGCUUUGAGAGGGGCCCGCGGCCCAUCAGGUAGUUGGUGAGGUAAUGGCCCACCAAGCCGAUGACGGGUAGCUGUUCUGAGAGGAAGAUCAGCCACACUGGGACUGAGAUACGGGCCAGACUCCUACGGGGGGCAGCAGUGAGGAAUAUUGCACAAUGGACGAAAGUCUGAUGCAGCGACGCCGCGUGGGCGACGAAGGCCUUCGGGUCGUAAAGCCCUUUUAGCAGGGACGAGUGAGGACGGUACCUGCUGAAUAAGUCUCGGCUAACUACGU
rnacentral:rRNA from 1 species